rnacentral:misc_RNA from 1 species
CGCUGAAGACCCAAGGUGCUUCAUCUUAUUGACAGCGAGAGGCCAUCCCGGCAGGGCACUUCAAUAAAACGUCUGCCUGCCACUUGCGGAGCCAAGCGCACAGCGCAUAUCUCGACAAAGGCUCGCCGCAGCACUCGCAGCUCGCCCAGGAAUCUGCUUCAUCAUCCAUACACGCACACACUCAUGCACGCACACGUAUUCGUACAGGGCGUACGCACAUAACACAGCGCGAAUAUAUCAGCGAAGCCUCCCUGCAACCUGCGCCACACCGCACGCACCCGCGCUAUUUUCUUUUGCUUCUGCGGCCCACUUUGGAGUUCUUGUGCAGGUGACGUGAGCUCCCAUCUCCCGCGCGUCGGCCCCCAUCCACGUCUGCCUGCGUGGCUGUGAGCCCCCUCCCCCUUCCCUACUUUCUCCUGAGCCAUGACGCACAGCGCGUACAACAAGCAUGACAUUCCGCGAGAGCUGCAGCGACUUAUCGACCACACUGACCGCGGCAUUGAGCAGCUCUACCAACUAGCCGGCCGCAGCACUGCAGCGUCGACUGUGGCGGUCGACAGGCAGCCCAUCAUCGCGAAGGAGGGGGAGCGAAGACAGAAACGUCGGGUGCACUAUCAUAGCAGAGGAGGUAAAGGCUCGCUACUGGAAGAGAGGCGUGCCGAGGUAUGGCACGACGACCCCCACCGCAGCGUCCGCAAAGACAGCAGCGGUGGCCGCAGCGGCGCCAGAGCAGACGUCCAACCGAGGGCAACCGUGCGAUUCUCGUCCCGGAGAUCGAGAGACGCGUGCGACUACGGCGGCGUUUCAAACGACUGGAGGGGCUCGCGCACAUCCGCGAGGGGAUUCGCGGCACAGAUGCGGCACGACGAGUACGGCAACAGCGACGGUGACUACUUCGACGACGACGAAGGCGAUACACUACCCGAUGUCACCGAGAGCGACGACGGCACGGACGUCUACAAGAGAGACGAGACAGGCGAUGAAAACGACAACUGCGAAGAUGAGGGCGAAGAUCGCGAGCCACUGUCAGCUAGCCGCCACCACAGGCAGUGGCGCGCGUCUGGUGUGCUCCGCCAGACCUCCGUUGCCGCUGCCGGGUCUUCGCUGCUGCAAUCGCAGCCGCCCAGUCGGCGGCCUUUGUCGCCGGCGUCGACGCCGCAUCGAACGCUAAACUUCUCUAACGGCACCGCGCCCUCCUCACCGGCGUCUCUUGCGAAGCCGCCGCGCCACUCGCGUCGCCCUGAUCUGCACCCGCCUCCGUCGCACGUACCCGACUCUUUCCCACCGCCUCCAUGGCAGCAGCGACAUUCGCAUCAAGACCACGGCGAUCUGCCCCUUGCGGGAGGCACCUCCUAUACGCUGUCCUCGGCGUCUUUCUCCGGGUUGCGCGGCUCCUCAGCAGCAUCGUCGCCGUCUCCAACAGUGACGACUGCCGACACCGCAGCGUACCGUGCCCACAUGGCGGCGCAGCAGUCCACGCAGAGACCUAACAAGUCUUCAACCGCGCAUCGGCGGCGCUCGCAGCAGCAGCCACUCAGCGGUGCUUCUAUGCCCACCGCAUCCACGUCGCUCUUUAUGAGCCCUGGCUCGACGUAUAGCGGAAGCCGUGACGAGUCCAGCCUUCACACCCGCUCUGGCCUCCAGAAGGCGAGCGGCACGGCGUCUUCUGGGAUGCUGUCUCGAUUCGGACGGAGGUGGAACAGCAUAUUCAAAAAAAUGCUCACCGAUCCGCCACCGCCGGCCCCAUCGGCGGGAUCGUCCACGCCGCGAAAUUCGGCUGCAGCGGCGACGUCCGCGCCACAUCCACGAAGUCCACCCGCUCCAUCGUCAUUCUCUUCUUCUUCAUCCACGACAUCCAUCGUGGGGGACGUGCGCGCGCACGGAGAGGGCACUCCUGAGAGAGACGUGCUUCCUCAGCUGAGGGAGCUCAUUCCACAUCCACAUGCAGUCCCUGCGACUCCGCCGUGCGCCGCUGCCGAUUUGGCGAAUAUUGCCCCCACCGCGUUGCCGUACUCCGUCGCCUCUGCUACAGCAUUCGCCGACGCCCGUGUCGCCGAGCAGCUGCGGGCGGAGCUGGAGGCGAAGGAGGAGGCGAUGCUGCGGCUGCGCAUGGACCACGCACGGGAGAUGGCGGAGCUGCGUCAGUCUCUCACCCACGAGCGAGCAAACGCGGCUAAGCAGACGGCUGACGAGCUUGCCACGUCCUUCUCCAUCAAGCAGCAGCUCCUUCAGUCGUCGCUGCAGACGGAACGGGAGCGUCUGAUGGAGGCGGAGGAGCAACUGCGGCUUGCGCGCCGCGAGGCGGCGCAGCGUAAGAUGGAGCUCGAAGAUUCGGCUCAUGCUUUGCAGGCCCUACAGAGCAAGUACGCGACGCUCGCGCACAGUCAAGGCGAGCACGCGGCGCAGGCGGCGCAGUGGCGUGAGCGGGCGGAGAAGGUCACCGCCGAAGUUGCCCAGCUCGAGUCGCAGGUAAAGGUGUGGAAAGCAAAGGAAGUGGACUGGCAGGCGCGCGAGGCGCAGCUGCAGCUGCUGGCGCACGCUGCUGAGGAGCGGCGGGAGAAGGAAGAGACGUCGGCGCGGACGGCCCUGGCCCAGGUGGAGGCGGCGUUUACACAAACCUCGCAGAGCUACCAGGACUUGCUGGCGGAGGCGACGAAGCGCAUGUCCUACCUUGAAAAGAGUCAUCGGAAGUACAAACUGCUCAAGGAAGCCCACACCGCUCUGAAGACGGAGUACGAGCAGCUCGUUGACUCCUCGAUGCACCGCGCACGGCAGUCGGAGGCAGAGCUCGUCUCGUUACGCGCCGAGGCACAGGAGCUGCGCCAGCAACUGCGUCAACGAGACUCGGCCACGCAGGAGGAGACUGCAUCCCAUCAAGAGAUGCUGAGCGACUACAAGCGGCGGCUGGAGCUGCAAGAGGCGAACGCGGCGGAGCAGGUGAAAACUCUGCAACACCACAUCGACACUGCGAGUCACACCAUCGAGCUUCUGCGGUCGCAGAUGGAUAGCCUCAAGCAGGACCUGAUAGACGAACAGUCACAGCACCAGCAGAUGCAAAUGAAGGCGGCUCAGGCGGAGCUGCAGUGGAAAGAGACGCAACACGAGCAGCAACGUACGGCGGCGGCCUACAAGGUGCGCACUGAGGACACCAUUGCGCAGCUGAAGCGGCAGCUCCGCGACAAGGACACCAAAAUGCAAGCCCUUGCCGCCAGUGCCGCGGAGCCGGUUCAGCGACUACGACAACAGCUGGACGACGAGCGGGGCCGCCGCGCGCGGCUCGAGGAGCAGUUCCGUGCCUACAAGAAAAAGGCCAAGGAGGCGAAGGAGCAGGCGGCGAGCGAGAUGCGGCGAGAACAGCUACGCGCCGCUCUGCUGACACCGAUGUCGUCCGCAGCCUCCUCGCGCGUUCGUUUUGCCCACUCGGCCACCGCCACACCGUCGCCGCCGAGCUCGUCGGCACCCUGCUUCUCCGGCUGGAAUGGCAUGGGUGGUGGCAGAAAAGCGGGGUCGGAGUGCGCCGUCUGGUCGGAUGGGCCAGCUCACCCAGCCGUGAGGGUGUCCGCGCGUGGUGCGCGCGAUGAUCAGCGAGAGAGCCGCUUCGCUUACCCAGCUAUUUUGCGGACCGCCACCGCCCCUGCAUCGAGCGUGCUUGCGACAGCGUCCGUUGGGCACGCCGAGGAGGCCGACGCGGGAGGAGGCCGACGCGUUGCAGCCAACCACUCCCUGGCAAUCCCGCGUACAGACGCUACGCGCUUUUCCUCUGAGGAGGGUGGCCGACUACCGCGCCCGGCUCCUUCUGCAGCGCCACCACCCCAUCCAUCCACGAAGACUGUCCAAGCUUCCGGGGAAGAACAGGGCGAAGAAGAUGCACAGGACCGUUGGGCGUCCUCACCAAGCGCAGUGGUAGCGGCCUCGGUGGCCGCGGAUGCAUCAGCCAUCUCGCCCAGCGCCACUGUGGAGUCGCUUUCCGGUAUCUCGAGGACGUCGCCUUGCACAAGCACACUGAUGCCAGGUGAGGACGACGCAGUGGGGGUCGCUGAAACUGAAGGGCCGGCGAGUACACGCACCGCGGAGCCGACGCUAUCGCUGCAGCCUCGCACCGCAAACAGCCCCGCCCGCACAGACGCAGCGGCCGCGAAAGUGCCUGCUGCUGAUGAGGAUGCCAUUGCCACGCACGUCUACGCCGAUUCUGGGGCGCAGGCGCACGAGCAUCGCAUGAGCACCUUCCACACAAGUGCCUCAGAGGUGCUGCGCCGCAUUGCGGGAAGCCGAGAGGAGUUCCUGGCGCAGUGUGCCGCCAUCGUGAAGAGCACGGCGGCUGCCAGUCGCCGAGGUGCGCAGGCGAGACGGCGACUUUCUGAUGGGGACGCGCGUACUGCAGUGUCCGGCGACAACGCCAGUGCCUCCGAGGCGUCACAGAGCGAUGACGAAACGGACGACCAGGAGCGCCUGUGAAGUGCCGUUCGCAGGGAUUUGGUGGUACCGAUAGAACCGUAUAUGCACCCCCAUACACAUAUCCGUGGAUGUGUGUGUGUGGCACAUGGUGAGGGCAAGUGGUGUGUGAGUGUGUGCAUAGGGGGGAGUUGCUGAGCGCCACAACGCGAGCGGUGGAUGCCAACCAGGUGGCACACGAUGAAGGCAUCACCGCUCAUGGACCGUCUUGUCUCCCCCGUCACCUGACGCCCCCGCCCCGGCCUGGCACAUACUGAUUCCACACGGUGCCAUUGAAAUCUUGGGACAGUGCUGCCUGUGCAUCCAACGGUGCAUGUGUGCGCGCGCGCGCCUGCUUUUGUAGGCGUAUCUUCUUCAUAGAAGUUUUCAUAGCAUUUACGUGUGUGCGUGUGCAGCUCUACUGGUGGGGUCUAUUGUGCAUAUGCAGGCGCCGAGGCACAGGCUUGCCGAUU